GGACGGAAAACAGGGACCAGGGCGCAAGAGGCCACGGAGGACACUCUAGCCAGGUUUUCAGGGUAACUGUGUGCAGCCGGUGUAGGAGGCACUUCCGUCCUGAUUUCAGGAGCCUCAGACAGAAAAUGCCCAACUCCCCGGCACAGGCCCGAACCCCCGUUCCAGUCAUUUCCUGAUGAUCGCUACCUUCACCACAGCCAGAAGCAGGAUGACAGACUUCAGAAGCAGACCAGGCGAAUUCCUGGUAGGCCAGCUCAAUAGAUGAAAAUGUCAGUGGAGUCCCAUUCCCCAACCAUGGGAAGCGCAAGAGGACUGACUGGUUUCUGUUUGAUUUGCUUUUCUUUUCUCUGGAAAAUCAUCUCAUCCAAAAUAUCUGCUUCAUCAGACUAUUGCCAAC